UUUUGGAAGUAAAAAGUCGUAACAAGGUCUCCGUAGGUGAACCUGCGGAGGGAUCAUUACACAAAUAUGAAGGCGGGCUGGAACCUCUCGGGGUUACAGCCUUGCUGAAUUAUUCACCCUUGUCUUUUGCGUACUUCUUGUUUCCUUGGUGGGUUCGCCCACCACUAGGACAAACAUAAACCUUUUGUAAUUGCAAUCAGCGUCAGUAACAAAUUAAUAAUUACAACUUUCAACAACGGAUCUCUUGGUUCUGGCAUCGAUGAAGAACGCAGCGAAAUGCGAUAAGUAGUGUGAAUUGCAGAAUUCAGUGAAUCAUCGAAUCUUUGAACGCACAUUGCGCCCUUUGGUAUUCCAAAGGGCAUGCCUGUUCGAGCGUCAUUUGUACCCUCAAGCUUUGCUUGGUGUUGGGCGUCUUGUCUCUAGCUUUGCUGGAGACUCGCCUUAAAGUAAUUGGCAGCCGGCCUACUGGUUUCGGAGCGCAGCACAAGUCGCACUCUCUAUCAGCAAAGGUCUAGCAUCCAUUAAGCCUUUUUUUCAACUUUUGACCUCGGAUCAGGUAGGGAUACCCGCUGAACUUAAGCAUAUCAAUAAGCGGAGGAAAAGAAACCAACAGGGAUUGCCCUAGUAACGGCGAGUGAAGCGGCAACAGCUCAAAUUUGAAAUCUGGCUCUUUUAGAGUCCGAGUUGUAAUUUGCAGAGGGCGCUUUGGCUUUGGCAGCGGUCCAAGUUCCUUG
rnacentral:rRNA from 1 species